UACGAAGGGUGCAAACGUUGUCCGGAAUUAUUGGGCGUAAAGAGCUUGUAGGCGGUCUGUCGCGUCUGCUGUGAAAAUCCGGGGCUCAACCCCGGACUUGCAGUGGGUACGGGCAGACUAGAGGUAGGUAGGGGAGAAUGGAAUUCCCGGUGUAGCGGUGAAAUGCGCAGAUAUCGGGAGGAACACCGGUGGCGAAGGCGGUUCUCUGGGCCUUACCUGACGCUGAGGAGCGAAAGCGUGGGGAGCGAACAGG
rnacentral:rRNA from 1 species